GACGAACGCUGGCGGCGUGCCUAAUACAUGCAAGUAGAACGCACAGUUUAUACCGUAGCUUGCUACACCAUAGACUGUGAGUUGCGAACGGGUGAGUAACGCGUAGGUAACCUGCCUGGUAGCGGGGGAUAACUAUUGGAAACGAUCGCUAAUACCGCAUAAUAUUAAUUAUUGCAUGAUAAUUAAUUGAAAGGUGCAAUUGCACCACUACCAUAUGGACCUGCGUUGUAUUAGCUAGUAGGUGAGGUAACGGCUCACCUAGGCGACGAUACAUAGCCGACCUGAGAGGGUGAACGGCCAAACUGGGACUGAGACACGGCCCAGACUCCUACGGGAGGCAGCAGUAGGGAAUCUUCGGAAAUGGACGAAAGUCUGACCGAGCAACGCCGCGUGAGGGAAGAAGGGUUUCGGAUCGUAAAGCUCUGUUGUAAGAGAAGAACGGGAGUGAGAGUGGAAAGUUCACACUGUGACGGUAUCUGACCAGAAAGGGACGGCUAACUACGUG
rnacentral:rRNA from 1 species